rnacentral:rRNA from 1 species
GGAGAAAAGCAGGGGAUCGCAAGACCUUGCGCUAUUGGAGCGGCCGAUGCCUGAUUAGCUUGUUGGUGAGGUAAAAGCUCACCAAGGCUUCGAUCAGUAGCUGGUCUGAGAGGACGACCAGCCACACUGGGACUGAGACACGGCCCAGACUCCUACGGGAGGCAGCAGUGGGGAAUUUUGGACAAUGGGGGAAACCCUGAUCCAGCCAUGCCGCGUGAGUGAAGAAGGCCUCCGGGUUGUAAAGCUCUUUCAGCCGGAACGAAACGGUUACGGUUAAUACCCGUGACUACUGACGGUACCGGAAGAAGAAGCACCGGCUAACUACGUGCCAGCAGCCGCGGUAAUACGUAGGGUGCGAGCGUUAAUCGGAAUUACUGGGCGUAAAGCGUGCGCAGGCGGUUUUGUAAGUCAGAUGUGAAAUCCCCGGGCUUAACCUGGGAACUGCGUUUGAAACUACAAAGCUAG